GGGGAUACAGCUCAGUGGUAGAGUUCUUGACUAACAUGUAAGAGCCCCUGGGUUCAAUCCCCAGCACUGCCA
rnacentral:tRNA from 1 species